rnacentral:rRNA from 1 species
UACGAAGGUGGCAAGCGUUGUUCGGAUUUACUGGGCGUACAGGGAGCGUAGGCGGUUCGGUAAGCCCUCUGUGAAAUCUCCAGGCUUAACCUGGAACAGUCGGAGGGGACUGCCGGGCUAGAGGACGGGAGAGGAGCGCGGAAUUCCCGGUGUAGCGGUGAAAUGCGUAGAUAUCGUGAGGAAGACCAACGGCGAAAGCAGGCCUCUGGAAAUCUCCUGACACUGAGGCUCGAAGGCCAGGGGAGCAAACGGG